CCUACGGGAGGCAGCAGUGGGGGAUAUUGCACAAUGGGGGGAACCCUGAUGCAGCGACGCCGCGUGGGUGAAGAAGCGCCUCGGCGCGUAAAGCCCUGUCAGCAGGGAAGAAAAUGACGGUACCUGAAGAAGAAGCCCCGGCUAACUACGUGCCAGCAGCCGCGGUAAUACGUAGGGGGCAAGCGUUAUCCGGAUUUACUGGGUGGAAAGGGGGCGCAGACGGCGAUGCAAGCCAGGAGUGAAAGCCCGGGGCCCAACCCCGGGACUGCUCUUGGAACUGCGUGGCUGGAGUGCAGGAGGGGCAGGCGGAAUGUCUGGUGUAGCGGUGAAAUGCGUAGAUAUCAGGAGGAACACCGGUGGCGAAGGCGGCCUGCUGGACUGCAACUGACGUUGAGGCCCGAAAGCGUGGGGAGCAAACAGGAUUAGAUACCCCUGUAGUC
rnacentral:rRNA from 1 species